AGGAGUAUAGUUUAUAUAAAAUAGUCGAUUUGCAAUCGAUAGAAAACGUAAGUUUACUCUCA
rnacentral:tRNA from 1 species